GUGUUCUUUCUGGACUCUUGGUGCCCAGAAGUGUUCAGGAUUGCCAUAUAAAGCCUUUAAGACCAUUGUUGACUUUCAUAACAUAGUGCCUCCUAUGUUUGCACUGCUUGCCGACUCAACCGUCCACACGGUGUCAACAAACCUAUCAGGUCCUCCUCUUUCUAAUGACACCAUCCAGAGGUCUCUAUGUGGUGUAGUUAUGGAGAGAGAGCAAGUUUAGAUGGGAGAGCACAUCAUCCUCGCAUGAAGUGCACUUGAGACCUGAUGGAGCAGAGCCUUUGUGUGCCAGGUAGGAAAGUGUUGCUGCCGCUCACACACCACACCAGUGCCAGCCUUUUGGUGGUGGAGAUUGAUAGAGAGCAUCAUGAAGGCAUCAGGACAACCAGGACUCAGGACCACCACAUGCUGUAUAUUGCCAUCACUGGAGGUCAGAUUCCUGCAACACAUGACACUUCCCUCAACAAAAUGUACUCAUUUGUGUUAAUGACUGAUUACUAUUUUCAUGAGGCAAGCUGUAAUUAUUGAGAAAAUUAGCAAAUCAAGAAAGAUUCUUCUAUUUAAGUAAAUCCUGUUGAAGGCUUAUUCACUGAGGCAUCUACCACCUGUGUCGCUCCUGGUACUUGGACUGCAGCACCCUGAUCAGGCCCUGGUACCAGUGAAGUGGCUUGGAAAGCAGAGGCAGCAACUGUGAGUCCACUGAUCCCAAAGGCUCCACACUCACAAGGUUCAGCAAUUCACUUAACUCUGUGAAGCUCAAACCACCAAGGACCUGCGGGUAGUUGAUUUUUGUUUUUAUAUUUGUACAGCUGGCACCAAAAUAGAAGGCAUCAGGAAGA